ACUUGUAAUCUACCUAACUGCAGAGGUGGAUGCAAACUUGAUAAAACGUACAUUUUCAUAAGACUGUAACCUAAAACGGGAAUUUCAAUUUUCAAAAAACAGAAUGAGUAUAAAAAAAAUUGAACUCAUCAUUGCUAUCCAUACAAAUUUGAAGAGUAAUCAUAUUUGGAGGUACUUUUGGAAAAAUGUGGAGUUCUUGUCAUGAAACUUCUGUAAUAAACAAGUAACUCUCAAUUAUAUAUGAUAACUGGGGACUUAAUGUUUCAAAGAUAAUUUAUAUUCACAGGUUGAAAGACUUGAAGCCAAAGUAGUUGAACCCUUGAAAACUUAUGGGACCAUUGUGAAAAUGAAACGGGAUGACCUCAAAGCAACACUCACAGCAAGGAAUCGAGAAGCUAAGCAAUUAACUCAGUUAGAAAGAACACGUCAGCGAAACCCAUCUGAUCGACAUGUUAUU
rnacentral:lncRNA from 1 species